rnacentral:misc_RNA from 1 species
AACGAGGCCGACCUGCGGCUGAGUUACCUGCGGAGGGAUCAUUACCAGAGAGCCUUUUGGCACUCCAACCCAUUGUGAACAUACCUAUCGUUCCCUCGGCGGGCUCAGCGCGCGGGGCCUCCGGGCUUCCGGGCGUCCGCCGGGGACAACCAAACCCUGAUUUACUACGUGUAUCUCUGAGGGGCGAAAGCCCGAAAACAAAAUAAAUCAAAACUUUCAACAACGGAUCUCAGAUCGGAA